GGCUCUGUGGCCCAAUGGACAAGGCGCUUGACUACGAAUCAAGAGAUUUUAGGUUCGACCCCUGGCUGAGUCA
rnacentral:tRNA from 1 species